ACUAUGCAAUUUUGUCGCUUGGCACAAGCAAAUAUGGUGCAACACUGCCCAAGGUCAGAAUAACAACCGAUUGUAGGGAAUCCCCCAUGGCCUCUCUUGCAUAAAGGAGGAAGCUAGCAAGCAGAGCCAGGUGAAAGAGACCUUCAGCCUCGCUAAUCACUCCUACAACAACCCAGUUAAGCAUGGCACAUCCCCAGUCUUCUAUCACAGAAUUAAUGAACUGGCAAGGACCCAGAUGUAGGAUUGUUAACAGGGAAAGCAGACAUAUCUCUCUCCUAGGAAGAGACUUCCCGAUCUCAGAUAGAAAUUUGAGUUCACCCAUUCAGUGCUCCAUAUACACCUCGUGACCAGUCAUUCCAUCUUUUGUUUCUUAAAGAACACACCCACUUGAUUGGUUCAUGCAAACAUGAACUUCUUUGUUACAUGUGAGUUUUAGCCCCUGCAGUCAGGGUUCCUGACCUCUACAUUAUUCCAGGGCAUGAUCUUACCUAUUUGUACUCCUGACCCAAGAACAUGGUCAGGAGGAGGAAAAACAGAAGACGAAGGAAGGAAAGCACAACAGAGAACUUAGAGAAUGACCCUGGAGAAGAGAACACCCCUGGACCUAUGCUGGAACAAAAUACUAUCCGGGUUCCCUAGCCCACAAGUGGUCACAUUGUGCCACUUGCUUCUUCUCUUUCCCGACUUUCCACUUUUCCUCUGCAAGGAAAUCUACCUGCAUACUCCAACCUGCAUGUGCACCCAACAUACCAAUGGAUUGGGACUGGUAAUACUAACUUCCUAUCCCUUCUAAAUCUUCUCUCUCUCUCCUCUCUCCUCUUUAAGUCUACAUCUGGGUCCUUUCUCAAGUAAAGCCUUAACCUGAUUUAACUGACAAUUCUGACCUUAAGCAUGAGAGACUCUAGUUAAUGCUGUUAGUUAAGAUUUUAUUGCUUAAUCAAUCUUUUUAUUUUCCUUUACUCCAAUUAUCCCUAAAUAAAUCUGAUUGUACCAUAUUUCUGUCUUCUCAUCAUUUCCAGACCAGAACUUUGCACAAAUUGACCCUGUAAUGAACUGUUCCAUAUAGUCACACUGAUUCCACAUGUUAGCCCAAAAGCCCGAUUGGAGUGUUUAGUCAGUACCCUGGAACAGUUCCAUUAACAAGAUUUCCAUACUGAAAUAUAAUUAUGUGCAGUGAUUAUUUUUAUUCCCACAUCUACAUUAAAACACACACUGAAAAAUAUUUGGCUGGAGUACUAUCUUUGCAGUACACUCUAGGUUCCUUUUUCAGACUUACCAAGGACAGAUAUAUGGCCAAAUGGGCGAUAGAUUGGUCAUCUCUCAACAUCUAGAUAACAGGCCUUAUAUGAAUCAUUUGGUAAAUAGUUGGCAAUGGGGGAAAAAGAGGGCAUAUAUGCUGGUGUUUUGAUGAGUUAGUGACACACUAUGGCAGGGGUGGCCAACCUGGGGCUCUCCAGCUGAUAUUGGACUACUAAUAUCCAGCUGAUGUUUGACUAGCCACAGUGGCCAUUGCAGCCAGGGAUUAUGGGAGUUGUAGUCCAACAACAGCUGGAGAGCCUCAAGGUGGCCAUUCAUGCACAUUAGCAUUAUAUAUUUGGGGGGACACUGAGCUAGAACACUAUGCUUUUUUCUUUAGUCCCCCCCCCCACACACACACACAGAGAAAAACUCAGAAUCAUAAAACUCAGAAUCAUAAGAGAGAACUGGAAAAGGAUUCAGCAUUUCAUGGUGGAAACUGCUAUGUGAUAAUGGUGGGACAGUGGCAAGAAGUGUGCAAAAAUGCUGUACUGAUUAGGGAUGGAGCUGUAGCUCAGUGGUAGAGCAUCUGCUUUGCAUGCAGAAGGUCCCUGGUUCAAUCCCUGGCAUCUCCAGGUAGGGCAGGGAAAGACUCCAGCUGAAACCUUGGACAGCUGCUGCAAGUCAGUGCAGAUAAUACUGAACUGGUCUGACCCUAUGUCAACUUCCUAUGUGCCUAUGCUGGGAUCGGGGGCAGUGAUGAAAGAGUGUGCAUUCUUUCGCCAUAGACUGGCUCACACAUAAUGUACAGGUUCAUUACUUGAUAAUUACAAAAUCAAACACUUUGAUGCAUUGAUGACUCACAUUUCAAUGAGUCAUCCCAGAUCUAAUACCAUAAAUGUUGCUCCAAAUGCAAUACCUGAAGUCAGUUCACACAUUCAGUUGUCAAUUGCCUCAUUCUGAGAAAUCAAGUGAUUAUGUGAUUGUCUGAAGCAGUCUGAGGAGCAAGCUUUUUGCUGGCAAAGAUAUGUGAGCAACGUUGCAUGGGCAAACAACAACAAAUGGGAGAAGGGGAAAGUUCUGUGAACUCUUUACAUUGGUUUCCUAGCAGAGUCAUUUCGGACUUCUCAAGAGACUACAGGUAGUGAUGAUUUAUAGGUAGUAAGCUUCAAUUUGGGAGGCCAUAAGCACCUUCUUUGAUCUAGACUUCUACAGAUUUGUUUCCUAUGUACUCAGUGAGUAAUGAGUGAUUUGCUAUUGAUUUGUCCACAGGCAGAAGAAAAGUGGAUUGGUACUGUAACUCCAAAGUGAAUGAGAACUUCAGGAGCACGUGAUGUCACCAUGUAGCCAAACCUUCCCAGCUACAUGACAACUUUGCUGGCUCAAGACUGACUGAUAACAAGGAAACAUACCGUGGUACUGAAGUAGCAGCCAAUGCAUCUGACAAGAGGCUUUUGUCUGGGAACACCUGAUGAGAUGGCAUUUCCACUGCUAAAUGGUACUAGGGAUUUUCUUUGGGGGAGAUGUGAUGCUGGGGAGAAACAGUUGCCUGAAUGUAUUGGGAGGGGGGCAUGGCAUUUUUGUCCUUUCAUACCUCCCCAAGUGAUCAACAAAAGGAGGGGGCACAUUUCACAAGUGGGAAAGUUGUUUGCAAAAACAGGCUUUAUCGUUCAGCUUAUUAUUAAUUACCCACAUGGGUGUAACAUCCCUAUAAUUGCAUGUAGCCCACAUGGGUUGUAUGGCUUAUCUGCAACAGCUCCUGUGCAGAAAUGAUAUCUAUGGGGUGACUGUUGGUUACAUUUCUGAUUUAACUGGUAAACUUCCUUGGUUAAUCCUAGUUGUGUGCAUCAGAUUCACAACUGACUUGUGCCUUUGGCCACAAGCAGGGUAAAAAUAACCAACAUAAUCCUCAAAUGGAUGAACAUUCAAGUAUGUUUGAUAGAUUAUUGCUCCCCAGACAAUACAUUUCUGAGAUUGGAAUAUGAAGAUCAAACUGAGUAAAUAUGACAUGUGGAUAUGGAACAUACCAAUUGACUUAAAUCAACUUGUUUUGACAUAGUAUAACCACAUUUUUAGUCUGAACAGAGAACUAAUGUUAAGACACAACUAAAGAUCCUCAAAAAUCAUCACUGGGAAGCACGGCUAGAUAAAAGACAGUUAAUUAUGUUCACAGAUAUUUAUUACCUCCAAGUGUCUAAAUAAAAUGUAGCUUUUAAACUAUUACCCAAGUAAACCCAAUGAUUUUAACUGGUCUCUUUUACUCUCUAUUGAUAAUCUGUAAAGAAAAACAUACAUAAGCACAAUUUCUCUAAACACGUGCAAUACCACAAACAUAAUUUCUAAAUGGAAAUAACACCUUGCAAACUAAUGAUAAACUCACUUUUGCAGGCAGAGUCACCUUCAGAAGAAAAUUGGCUUCAGAAACGAGAACCACCUCUUGCAUAUAAAUAUAUAUAUACUGAGAAAUAAUGAAGAGACUACAAACAUCAUCGGUUUUUGACAUUAAAAAGAUGAGUAGUGCGUAUACCUGUAAACAAAUUAACCUUUAAAAAUGAAAAUGCACGGAUGGGAUUUUUCAGCUAAACCAUCACUGCUUGCACUGCAGGAUCUUAAUUAUGAUGUGAAUUUACAUUGGACAUAGAAGGAUGCAGGGAACCCAAGAGGGCUUAAAAAUGAAUGCUUAUCCAGCAAAACCGUGUGGAGGGACAGUCACGAAACAAUUGAAAAAUGCAUGUUCACUUUUAAUGUUUGACUUUGUAUUUUCCUUAAAAGAAAAUCUAUAUGAAUUUAUAAGGCUUGCAUUCGUGCUGUUCUCUGAGAGUUCAAAAACAGCUGUUCUACUGCAGUGGACUUUGACUGGGUAGAUUGCAAUGCUCAAUAAUCUGUCUCAGCUCAGGGUUAAGUGAUGGAAUUCAUUUAAAUGCCCCAGAAGUAAUCAUCCACAAAGAGUACAUUAUUUCUCUUUUAUGAAUUUUCAAACCUAAUACUGAUGGGUGGCAUGCAAUUAAACCUGAUCAAUAUGUAAUUUAGGUGGGCUGACAUGUUUUCAAAUUCUCAGAAUAUAGAUUCUUUCAAUAUUGCAAGAGCUUAGUGAAAUACUUAGCCCUUAUAAAACAGACUGGGCAUUUUAGUACAGUACAACAAACAAGAUAUAUCUAUUUGCAAGAUAAAUGGACCACUCUUCAAACAAAUAAGCCCUAACUUUCUGUAAAAAUAAACACCCUUAUUUGAAAAUCAAGAUCUCUUCUUUCUGUAAUGAAUACGAUAGCUAAUAUAUUGAUGGGAAACCACAUUUGCAUACACAUGGGUAGGUUUCAGAGUGUGUGAUUCACUUUUUGGAAGGGGCAGAUUAAAAUGCUAAUAAUGAUAUUAAGCAGUAUUUGUGAUGCUAAUAUUCAGUUAUGUUUCUGUAAAUAUUUAUUCUAAAAGGUUGUAAAAAUCAAAGAGGGACAGAAAAGAAGUGGAUUACUAUAAUGAUCCUUUGUGUUAAGCUAAUAAACAAGGGGAAGUACAUUGCAUUGUGACCCUAGAGGUCAUGAGUGAUAGUCGCUAGGAUUGCUAAUUAGCCUGCUGUCACCCACACAGUAAGAAUUACACUUGAGUUUCUAUGAUCUGACAUGGCUCAAUUUUAAAUUUUAUGCCUGAAGAUUUUAACUGGCCACCCACUUGCUUUGUGCAGAUGUUGCCAACAUAUUAAUGCAAUGGAUUCAUAUGUGAGUCUGUCUGUGAAGGUUCUAUCUGAGUUUCGAAAUGCUGCCAAUUAUUCCUCCCCUGAUGUCACUGAUUUGACAGUAGUGUACCUGAAUAUGCAGUUACAGUAGUGUGCCUGAAUAUUAUAUGCAGUGGUCUGCACACUUUUCAUUUUCCCUUCUGCUAACUCCCAAUUUGUACAAAGCAAAUUUGAUUAUAACGACACAGCGGAUAUCACCAAGGCCUACAUAACCUGUGACCUACAUAACCAGGUGACUUACCACUGCUGUGUUCUGCCUCCUGGGUAAGGGACAUCUGCUCUCACUUCUUGCAGUCCCGGGCAGCUAGCAAAAACCAAAGAUUUGUUGAGCCCCCAAUGGACCUCCAUCACUAACAGGUUCUGAAUGGGCUUCACAGUAAGUACUAGGGAUGUGCACAAAUUGAUUUUUUUGAUUCAAUUUGUACCCAAGCCGAAUCACCCCCAAUUUGUUUUGGGUUCAAAUCUGGCCAGCUAGCACAGGGGUGAUUUGUUUUGUCCACAAAUCUCCUGAAACAGAUUCAGGUACAAAUUGUUUUGUACCCAAAUUGAUUCACACAGACAGCAGGCGCCAGCAGUGAUUCUUUCAGCAGUAGGAAGGGGGUAGGAAAAAAUUAUCUUCUCUUUUUCUCAAUCAGGAAAGCAGGAACAAAAAGCAGAGAAUCCACUCCAGGCAGCAGGCAGGCAAGGCAAAGCAAAGCUCCUCUGGCUCUCCCUCUUCUCCCAUGAGGCAGAAAGGCAAAAUGGUGACUGGCUGCCUCCUUAGAUACAUUUGAAAAUCCCUCCUUCAUACUCCCCCCACCCUUGUCCCUUCUUUGACCCUUCCCGUAGCCAAUGCAGGGUCUGUCACCCCUGGCAAUACAAGACUUGAAUGGAAACAAGCCAAUCUGAAACCAGGGGAGGAUCGCCAGCCAAUCGUUGCACACUGUAAAUCACCAAUCUGAAGCUUGGGAGAGUGGGAUUUUCAAAAACAAUUCCUGACACAAAAUGGAGACAGCAAGAGAGACGGCCACAAAAUGGAGGUCUGAAUCUACAAUUUUUUCAGGUCCAAAAUCUGGGUGAUUUGUUUUGUACCCAAAUCUGGUCAGCUAGCACAGGGGCAAUUUGUUUUGUCCACAAAUCACCCCAAACAGGUAGAUUUGGGUACAAACUGUUUUGUCCCAAAUCGAUUCGCACAUCCCUAAUAAGUACACUGGAGCUAAGAGCCAAAACAAUAACAGAAUAAGGCUCAAGCCAUUUUAAUAGCAGAAGGGGAAAGAACUGUUAAGAAAGAGGCUACAACUAUAUCUGUGUGGGAUUUAUACUUGUCCAUUUCCUAGAAAAUGGGCAGAGGAAAGUCUUGAGACUGGAAAGAACUGAAUAACACCACCACACCAGAAUGUUAGAAAGAAAUGUACUUAAGCACGCCCAUGUGUAUGAGGUAAGAGCAGAGAACAAGUGGCUGACAUAGACUAAUAGUUGCAUGUGCAUCUACCACUAAGCAAGAUACAAGGCUGAGUUGUGUGCUUUUCUGUUGUCCUUUUCAAACUAAGCAUAGACUACACAGACUAGGGAUGCUUCCAGAUUUUUCCUUGCACUUGGAGUUCCAAAUUACCUGGUCUUGGAUCUGAAGUGGACCAAUGAUUUUUGUUCAUGUUUUGAUUUCUGAAUUUUGUUCAAAGCAACUAUGGAUGUGCAGUUUGCCACACCUUUCAUUGCCUUCAGUUCAUGUGUAUCUUUUAUCUUCCUCUGUGCAGGGAUGUAUGGAGAAAGCACUGCAAAAAAAGCAAUCCUGGUGUCAUUAUAACCAUGACUUUUCAUGUGGCAUCACUGAUGCAUAGGUGCACUUAUAUGCACUGACAGAACACCAAAAAAGCAGUUGCACUAAAAGGAAGUUGGUGGCACUAGAACAUGGUUACAGAUGGGUCCAGCCAAGAAUUAAUAUGAGGCACAAACAUUGCUGACAUAAGAUAUCAAACUACUGUAGAGCCUUUGAGCAAAUGGAGCAUCAGGAAAAGAACAACUUCAUGCCACCUCCAUUCCUCGCCAAAUAAGAUGACAAAUUUGCAUGCAUGUAUCUGUAAAUCUGUAUUUAUUCAUGGUAUGCAUAGGGAAAAAGAAAUGUUUCCUCUACACUUGUAAAGGCUAUUUGUUUUAGCUGUUGAAUGGCGAGUUGAGUUGCUAGCCAAUGACAUGUGCGCCCCAAGCCCCAUGCCACUGGCUGAUAGCUGAAUCAUUUACUCCCUCCAUAUGAAAAGAUGUUUUAGCUGAUGAGUAGUUGGCCAAUAACAACAUGUGCGCCCCAAGCCAUGUGCGGCUGAUAGCCAAGUCAUCCCCACCCCCCAUGAACAGAUAUGUGAAAUAGGUUAAAGUUUAUUGUUGGCUUUAGGUAAAUGGUAUGCUUAGAUACCUGAAUAUGCCAGAUUAAAGCUGGGUGGUCACAAAUAUCAACAACAAUGCAAUUAUCUAAAGACUUCUCUUGCAGGGUGUCUGUAAACCAACCCAAAUACAUUUUUAAAAACAA